rnacentral:rRNA from 1 species
AAGCAGUGGGAGCCCCACCACUAAGCCAGUGGUGAACUCCACAUACGCAUCCUUUGCUGAGGAUACGGUUAACGGAGCGAAAGCGACGUUCAACCGCAAAAGAAGCAGAGGGGGCUUAGUGGUGGGGUGACUGCGUACCUUUUGUAUAAUGGGUCAGCGACUUAUAUUCUGUAGCAAGGUUAACCGAAUAGGGGAGCCGGAGGGAAACCGAGUCUUAACCGGGCGUUAAGUUGCAGGGUAUAGACCCGAAACCCGGUGAUCUAGCCAUGGGCAGGUUGAAGGUUGGGUAACACUAACUGGAGGACCGAACCGACUAAUGUUGAAAAAUUAGCGGAUGACCUGUGGCUGGGGGUGAAAGGCCAAUCAAACCGGGAGAUAGCUGGUUCUCCCCGAAAGCUAUUUAGGUAGCGCCUCGUGAAUUCAUCUCCGGGGGUAGAGCACUGUUUCGGCUAGGGGGCCAUCCCGGCUUACCAACCCGAUGCAAACUGCGAAUACCGGAGAAUGUUAUCACGGGAGACACACGGCGGGUGCUAACGUCCGUCGUGAAGAGGGAAACAACCCAGACCGCCAGCUAAGGUCCCAAAGUCAUGGUUAAGUGGGAAACGAUGUGGGAAGGCCCAGACAGCCAGGAUGUUGGCUUAGAAGCAGCCAUCAUUUAAAGAAAGCGUAAUAGCUCACUGGUCGAGUCGGCCUGCGCGGAAGAUGUAACGGGGCUAAACCAUGCACCGAAGCUGCGGCAGCGACGCUUAUGCGUUGUUGGGUAGGGGAGCGUUCUGUAAGCCUGUGAAGGUGGCCUGUGAGGGUUGCUGGAGGUAUCAGAAGUGCGAAUGCUGACAUAAGUAACGAUAAAGCGGGUGAAAAGCCCGCUCGCCGGAAGACCAAGGGUUCCUGUCCAACGUUAAUCGGGGCAGGGUGAGUCGACCCCUAAGGCGAGGCCGAAAGGCGUAGUCGAUGGGAAACGGGUUAAUAUUCCCGUACUUGGUGUUACUGCGAAGGGGGGACGGAGAAGGCUAUGUUGGCCGGGCGACGGUUGUCCCGGUUUAAGCGUGUAGGUGUGUGUUCCAGGUAAAUCCGGUUCACUUUAACACUGAGGCGUGAUGACGAGGCACUACGGUGCUGAAGUAACAAAUGCCCUGCUUCCAGGAAAAGCCUCUAAGCAUCAGGUAACAUCAAAUCGUACCCCAAACCGACACAGGUGGUCAGGUAGAGAAUACCAAGGCGCUUGAGAGAACUCGGGUGAAGGAACUAGGCAAAAUGGUGCCGUAACUUCGGGAGAAGGCACGCUGACACGUAGGUGAAGUGAUUUACUCAUGGAGCUGAAGUCAGUCGAAGA